AAAUGGCGUCUGGAUUUCCCGGAAGUGGAAAUCAUUCUGAUGCUGACCUCAAGUGAUAUGGAGUCAGGUAAAGGGUGUCUCUUAUAUAGGGGAGUGAAUUAAUUUAAGCCCCUCCCACAAAUACAGGCCAAACAGCAUAUAUAUAUAUAUAUAUAUAUAUAUAUAUAUAUAUAUAUAUAUAUAUAUAUAUAUAUAUAUAUAU
rnacentral:sRNA from 1 species